GCGGAAGUGGUGAAAUUGGCAGACACGCUACUUUGAGGGGGUAGUGCCCGUAAGGGCGUAGGGGUUCAAGUCCCCUCUUCCGCACUA
rnacentral:tRNA from 1 species